GUGCCAGCAGCCGCGGUAAUACGUAGGUGGCAAGCGUUGUCCGGAUUUAUUGGGCGUAAAGCGCACGCAGGCGGUUGGCUAAGUCCGAUGUGAAAUCUCUCGGCUUAACUGGGAGGAGUCAUCGGAUACUGGCCGGCUUGAGGAAGGUAGAGGAGAGUAGAAUUCCCGGUGUAGUGGUGGAAUGCGUAGAUAUCGGGAGGAAUACCAGUGGCGAAGGCGGCUCUCUGGGCCUUUCCUGACGCUGAGGUGCGAAAGCGUGGGGAGCGAACCGGAUUAGAAACCCUCGUAGUCC
rnacentral:rRNA from 1 species